GCUUCGGCCUGGUUAUUCAUAACCCUUUGUUGUCCGACUCUGUUGCCUCCGGGGCGACCCUGCCUUCGGGCGGGGGCUCCGGGUGGACACUUCAAACUCUUGCGUAACUUUGCAGUCUGAGUAAACUUAAUUAAUAAAUUAAAACUUUUAACAACGGAUCUCUUGGUUCUGGCAUCGAUGAAGAACGCAGCGAAAUGCGAUAAGUAAUGUGAAUUGCAGAAUUCAGUGAAUCAUCGAAUCUUUGAACGCACAUUGCGCCCCCUGGUAUUCCGGGGGGCAUGCCUGUUCGAGCGUCAUUUCACCACUCAAGCCUCGCUUGGUAUUGGGCAACGCGGUCCGCCGCGUGCCUCAAAUCGUCCGGCUGGGUCUUCUGUCCCCUAAGCGUUGUGGAAACUAUUCGCUAAAGGGUGUUCGGGAGGCUACGCCGUANAACAACCCCAUUUCUAAGGUUGACCUCGGAUCAGGUAGGGAUACCCGCUGAACUUAAGCAUAUC
rnacentral:rRNA from 1 species